UACGUAGGGUGCGAGCGUUGUCCGGAAUUAUUGGGCGUAAAGAGCUCGUAGGCGGUGUGUCACGUCGGCCGUGAAAACCUGCAGCUUAACUGUGGGCGUGCGGUCGAUACGGGCAUCACUGGAGUUCGGCAGGGGAGACUGGAAUUCCUGGUGUAGCGGUGAAAUGCGCAGAUAUCAGGAGGAACACCGGUGGCGAAGGCGGGGGUCUCUGGGCCGAUACUGACGCUGAGGAGCGAAAGCGUGGGGGGAGCGAACAGG
rnacentral:rRNA from 1 species